GAAAGACUCUCGGCAACGGAUAUCUCGGCUCUUGCAUCGAUGAAGAACGUAGCGAAAUGCGAUACUUGGUGUGAAUUGCAGAAUCCCGUGAACCAUCGAGUCUUUGAACGCAAGUUGCGCCCGAAGCCAUUAGGCUGAGGGCACGCCUGCUGGGUGUCGCCCAUCGUUGCCCC
rnacentral:rRNA from 1 species